rnacentral:rRNA from 1 species
UGAGGAAUAUUGGUCAAUGGGCGAGAGCCUGAACCAGCCAAGUAGCGUGCAGGAUGACGGCCCUAUGGGUUGUAAACUGCUUUUGUAUGGGGAUAAAGUUAGGGACGUGUCCCUAUUUGCAGGUACCAUACGAAUAAGGACCGGCUAAUUCCGUGCCAGCAGCCGCGGUAAUACGGAAGGUCCAGGCGUUAUCCGGAUUUAUUGGGUUUAAAGGGAGCGUAGGCUGGAGAUUAAGUGUGUUGUGAAAUGUAGACGCUCAACGUCUGAAUUGCAGCGCAUACUGGUUUCCUUGAGUACGCACAACGUUGGCGGAAUUCGUCGUGUAGCGGUGAAAUGCUUAGAUAUGACGAAGAACUCCGAUUGCGAAGGCAGCUGACGGGAGCGCAACUGACGCUUAAGCUCGAAGGUGCGGGUAUCAAACAGGAUUAGAUACCCUGGUAGUCCGCACAGUAAACGAUGGAUGCCCGCUGUUGGUACCUGGUAUCAGCGGCUAAGCGAAAGCAUUAAGCAUCCCACCUGGGGAGUACGCCGGCACGGU